rnacentral:lncRNA from 1 species
ACCAACUCAUCCCAAUCCACUAGGGCGUGAGAAGACAAGGUGCGAGGCUGCUUUGUGCAUGGAAAGGUUUCAUGAGAAACUCUUUCUCGUGUGAGAUAUGGGGUGCUAAAAUGGAUAAGGUCAUGAAGGCGCAAAAGAUAAGUUAUCCAUUCAAAUUCAAACAUGCUUUGAACUUGAAUGGCUAACUAAUCAAUUUUAUCCAAAGAUUGGUGCACAAGAGUGGGCAUGAGAAGGGCUUUGUGUGAGAGAAAAUUCAUGAGAAGUUUCUUCUCGUGAAUUCAAAUGGGCGCAGAGAUAUGAGGUGGCACAGGGAUUGAAAUUCAAAUGGUGGUUUAACCUUAAUUGAACCAACCUAAUCAAAAUAGAUUAAGCAUAAUUAGUUUAAAUUAAACUCAACUUAAUUAGGCUUAAUUAGGCUCAAUAAAAUCUUAAUCAAAUUAAGAAUUGACUAAGCCCAACCCCUGAUCAAAUCAGGGACCAAACCAU